rnacentral:rRNA from 1 species
GAGCUCGGAUCAUAUACGGCGUUUGAUCCUGGCUCAGGAUGAACGCUACGGGAGGCUUAACACAUGCAAGUCGAGGGGUAACGGAAGUAGCUGCUACUAACGACGACCGGCGCACGGGUGCGUAACGCGUAGCAACCUGCCUUAUACAGAGGGAUAGCCCAUGGAAACGUGGAUUAAUACCUCAUAGUAUCGUAAAUUCGCAUGGAAUUACGAUUAAAACUUCGGUGGUAUAAGAUGGGCAUGCGUAGGAUUAGGUAGUUGGUGAGGUAACAGCUCACCAAGCCGACGAUCCUUAGGGGUUCUGAGAGGAUUAUCCCCCACACUGGUACUGA